rnacentral:siRNA from 1 species
UAGUACGAAUGGGGAAAGACGU